ensembl:lncRNA
CUCGGAGGCAGUCGAAUCUGUGGCUAGCUUCCUAACAGGUACAAAACAGGAGUGGUUUCUCAUUUCUCUGAAACGACAUCAGGCUUGUGUUCUGGAUAAAGUUGCCAAGUGGGCGGGCCUAGGUAUAAAAUAACGAGGCAGAGAUUUGAGGCCAACGUUAGAACCUACUGAGCACUCAGAACAGUGCUACUCCUUCAGACGACUCCAGAGAUGACGCCAGUGUCCAGGGUGGAAGUUCCUUGCAGCAACUGACUGGACGGUCAGUUUGCCACGGAGCGCUCUGUCACUACGCAAACCUGCUGCGCCCCAUCUCCAAUGCUGUUCUGUGGAGGAGCGGAGCAGGAAGAGAGUGGAAGGAAAGCAGCUUCCAGAGUCUGGAAGUUUGGUAUGUGCUAGGCUGAAGGAACAAGCUUCGGAUGUAGACUUGGGCAUGGAGGCUCUAAUAAGUGUCCAUGGUAGACGCCACUCCCUGCCUGUUGUCACAUGAUUUCUGGAAGAAUUGUCUGCUGGGAAAAGGCUCUUGGAUGUCUGUCUGCCUUUCCCCCGCACUUCACCUGCUGUAUCUUUUUAGCCUGAACUGAUCUCACUUGUGCCUGUUUGCUUUUGUGGUUUUAGCAGGAAGUCACCACCAUGAGUGCAAUUAUGUGCUGAUUUCUGUGAAUUCUUCCAGCCAGGCAGUCAUCAGAUUCGGAGCUGCUCCUUUCUCACCGUCCUUUACACUUACAAUCAAGCAGCUGAUAAGUUCCCCUUUAACCCGGUUUUCAGGAGUUUAUUGAACAGGCUUCAGAACAAAGAAUACCAAGGUGAAUAGAGACAAAGGAACUACAGAGAUGUGGAUAACAACAUGUACUGCUCAUGCAGAGAACCUGAACUCCGUUCCCAGCACCCACGUCCCUCACGACCACCUCCACCUCCAUCUUCAAAGUCUCUGUAGAUACCCGUACUCAUGUGCACGUACACAGAGGUCAAAGGGAACUUGCCGGGGAAUGAAGAGCAAUGCCCUGAAUUCCAACUGCCCUUCUACAGAGAAGUGCUUGACUGCCAAGUGGUCUUCCCAGUCAUUGGUGAAGGAUCACUUUGGUACCCCGGCCAAUGGGCUCACCAUGGUCUGAACGAAUGGGGAAGGAUUCACCAGCAGAAGACUCCCAAGACACCAAACUACCCAAUCAUGGAGAUGUCUGCACCAGCCUGGAGAGCCUCCCUGAACACCUUUGUACCAGACUUAGCAAUGGUUCCCAAGUUAUUUAUGAGGUCAGCCUUGGUCAUGCCAAUGCCUAUGUCCACCAAAGUCAGCAUGCGCUCCUGAGGGGUGGGGAUGAUGUCAAUCUUUAGCUCUUUCCCGCUGAACAACUUGAAAGGGUGGUCAGGCUCUCAUACCGAAUCUUGUCCAGGGCAUCAGAAGCAUUGGAGAUCAACUCCCAGAGGAAAA